rnacentral:rRNA from 1 species
GACGAACGCUGGCGGCGUGCCUAAUACAUGCAAGUGGAACGCAUUUUAAUCACCGUAGCUUGCUACACCGAUUAAAAUGAGUCGCGAACGGGUGAGUAACGCGUAGGUAACCUACCUCAUAGCGGGGGACAACUAUUGGAAACGAUAGCUAAUACCGCAUAAGACAACUUAUCGCAUGAUAGGAUGUUAAAAGAUGCAAUUGCAUCACUAUGAGAUGGACCUGCGUUGUAUUAGCUAGUUGGUGAGGUAACGGCUCACCAAGGCUGCGAUACAUAGCCGACCUGAGAGGGUGAUCGGCCACACUGGGACUGAGACACGGCCCAGACUCCUACGGGAGGCAGCAGUAGGGAAUCUUCGGCAAUGGGGGCAACCCUGACCGAGCAACGCCGCGUGAGUGAAGAAGGUUUUCGGAUCGUAAAGCUCUGUUGUAAGCGAAGAACAGUGAUAGGAGGUGGAAAAAUCUAUCACAUGACGGUAGCUUACCAGAAAGGGACGGGCUAACUACGUGCCAGCAGCCGCGGUAAUACGUAGGUCUCGAGCGUUGUCCGGGAUUUAUUGGGCGUAAAGCGAGCGCAGGCGGUUAGAUAAGUCAGAAGUUAAAGGCUGUGGCUCAACCAUAGUACGCUUUUGAAACUGUUUAACUUGAGUGCAGAAGGGGAGAGUGGAAUUCCAUGUGUAGCGGUGAAAUGCGUAGAUAUAUGGAGGAACACCGGUGGCGAAAGCGGCUCUCUGGUCUGUCACUGACGCUGAGGCUCGAAAGCGUGGGUAGCGAACAGGAUUAGAUACCCUGGUAGUCCACGCCGUAAACGAUGAGUGCUAGGUGUUAGGCCCUUUCCGGGGCUUAGUGCCGCAGCUAACGCAUUAAGCACUCCGCCUGGGGAGUACGACCGCAAGGUUGAAACUCAAAGGAAUUGACGGGGGCCCGCACAAGCGGUGGAGCAUGUGGUUUAAUUCGAAGCAACGCGAAGAACCUUACCAGGUCUUGACAUCCCUCUGGCCGGUCUAGAGAUAGACUUUCCCUUCGGGGCAGAGGUGACAGGUGGUGCAUGGUUGUCGUCAGCUCGUGUCGUGAGAUGUUGGGUUAAGUCCCGCAACGAGCGCAACCCUUAUUGUUAGUUGCCAUCAUUCAGUUGGGCACUCUAGCGAGACUGCCGGUAAUAAACCGGAGGAAGGUGGGGAUGACGUCAAAUCAUCAUGCCCCUUAUGACCUGGGCUACACACGUGCUACAAUGGUUGGUACAACGAGUCGCAAGCCGGUGACGGCAAGCUAAUCUCUUAAAGCCGAUCUCAGUUCGGAUUGUAGGCUGCAACUCGCCUACAUGAAGUCGGAAUCGCUAGUAAUCGCGGAUCAGCACGCCGCGGUGAAUACGUUCCCGGGCCU